UAUGACCAGGAUACCAACUCCUUGAGAUGAUUCUUUCUUCAAAAUUCUCACUAUGAUAAUUUUCUUGGGCACCAGGACCUCAAGACUCUCUUUCUCUUCUCCUAGCCUUCCUAUCCCUAUCUUUCUUCUCUCCUUAUCUUCCUUAAUUCUCUUCCUAGGCUCUUGUCCUAAAAUCAGACUUGUCCUUACUAUUUUUGGACUUAUUCUAACAGGAGAAGGAAAAGACUAAUUGGAUAAUAGGGAGAGUGUGUAAGAA
rnacentral:lncRNA from 1 species